CUUAUCUCUAUAAAAUCGCUUGGAAACUUAACUCAGCUGCAUACCCUAGAUGGGGUUGAGCUCAGUACUUUCUAUCACAAGGAUGGAAUAUCUUAAGCGACCUAUAUACCAUGAAAUCAAAGAUGGUACAACCAUGUUGAAUAUAUGAUCGGAUGGGGUAUAUGUGUUUUGACCAACGAAAUACGGCCAAAUGUUUCGAGGUAUGAUUUCUCAAAAGCUAAACAUCUCCAAAGUAACUGCCCAUGACCAUUCUCGAGCUCAAGGUACUCUCUCUCUCUCUCUCUCUCUCUCUCUCUCUCUCUCUCUCUCUCUCUCUCUAUAUAUAUAUAUAUAUAUAUAGGAUUUUUGUAGCAAAAAAAAUAAAAAAGAGAGUUUUUUUGUCCCAAAUAAUGAAUUUUUAAUAAUAUAAGAGUUCGGUUAAUGGAUACCUUUAAAAUCUUUUUGGGUGCAUCACAUGUCAAUGUCCAUAAAUUAGCAAUUCCACAAUAAAAAAGACAACCAAAAUUCAAAAACUCACUUUUUAAAAAUACACCCUCUAGGGUGUCAUAUGGCGGUUUCCACAAUGAUAUAUGGGUUUCUUCCAUUUUAAGUUAAAUAUAGACAACUUCUCCCAACAAAAAAGGGCAAUAGAUAUGAAAUUUAUUUUAUUUGAAUUGUUAUGUAACUAUGGUAUUGUAGUAUAUAUAACACCAAAGGUUAUUUAGCCUUCCAUAACUUGGGGUUUUAGACAAUUGCCUAAAUGACCUAAUAGUGGAGUCAAUUUCUAUCUCACUCAAGGAUUAUUUGCAUCUAAAUCCAAAGCCUCAUAUUGUAUAUUGUCUUGGUGACAUUCGGUUUUAUGUCCUUGUAUACGUUAGGGACAUUUUUGUUACCAACAAUAGGUCCCAUUGUAUUCAAACUCGUAAAAGUUGAUUUCAAAAUUUGCUCUCUAGGAUCUUGAAGCCAUUCACUGCUUUCUUUUCAUGUCGAGGCUGCUUCCGCAAUUUGGGUCUUAAUCUUUCUCAAAAACAGUACAUCUCGGACCUCUUAAGAAACUUGGUGUUGCGAAUUCUAUGGCUGUUCAAAAUCCAAUUUCAACGUCCAACAAGCUUUCGAAACAUGCUGGUAAAACCUUUUUCAAUCCCUUAUUUUAUCACUAAAUUGUUGGUGCUUUUAAUAUUUUACUCUCACAAGGCUUGAAAUAGUUUUUGUCAUAAGCAAAGUUUGUCCGUUUAUGCAUAAUUCAUCUGAAACACACUAGACUGCUGUCAAAACAUAUCUUACGCUACCUGAAGACACUAGUAACUAUGGUCUCUCUUUCUCAAAUCAUUCUUCUAUGCAUCUUCAGAAAUUUUCAAAUGCAGAUUGAGCUGAGUGUGUUGAUGAUUAGAGAUCCUAUAGUGGUUUUGUAAGAUUUCUUGGCCACAAUCUUAUUUCUUGGUCCUUUUAAAAGCAACGAACAGUGGCUCAUUCCUCCACUAAAUCCAAAUAAAAGCCCUUGCUAAUGCUGUAGCCGAAAGAACCAGGUCUCACUUCCCGUAGUUCUUCUCAGGUGUGAUAAUAUUGGAUUUAUAUCUCACUAUUAAUUUGGUCUUUCAUGUACGAUCUAAACAUGUAGAUUUUUUUUUUUUUUUCAUUUUUUAUUAUGACAAAUUUCCCUGCAAAGAUCUUAAAGGACGUUUCAUUUC